GCGCCAGUAGCUCAGUUGGAUAGAGCCCGUGCCUUCUAAGCACGUUGUCGAGAGUUCGAUUCUUUCCUGGCGCGCCA
rnacentral:tRNA from 1 species